UCGAGAAUCUUCGGCAAUGAGCGCAAGCGUGACCGAGCAACGCCGCGUGCGGGAUGAAGGCCUUCGGGUUGUAAACCGCUUUGGUCCGAAAGAAAGGGCAACUUGAUCGAUCGGAGAAACAAGGACGGGCUAAGUUCGUGCCAGCAGCCGCGGUAAGACGAACCGUCCAAACGUUAUUCGGAAUCACUGGGCUUAAAGGGCGCGUAGGCGGCCGAGCGGGUCACGGGUGAAAUCCCCCAGCUUAACUGGGGAACUGCCCUUGAUACCACUGCGGCUCGAGGAAGGAAGGGGCAAUCGGAACUGUCGGUGGAGCGGUGAAAUGCGUUGAUAUCGACAGGAACGCCGGUGGCGAAAGCGGAUUGCUGGUCCUUAUCUGACGCUGAGGCGCGAAAGCCAGGGGAGCAAACGG
rnacentral:rRNA from 1 species